CAUGAACUUUGCUCCUGUGAAAGGCAGUGCAGGUCUUUAAACACAUUCCUGUGUAUCAAGAGGUACCUUGGCCUAAGAGAAAACAUCAUGGUGCUGUUGGACUUUAUGUUGAAAUAAGCAAGAAAAGCCAGCGCGCAGAAGCAGAACACUUCAGAAAGCACUGAGGACAGCUUGCUUGACUCUCACGAGGUUUGUUACAGCUGCUGAAUGCCUGGGGGCAGCGGACUGCCAUCGUCCAUCUGGCAUCGAUGGGCUGCCUGUCUUCUAAACCUAUCGCCUUGGACUUGCUCCGUCCAUCUGUGCUGCUAUGAAGUCCACGCCUGCCAUUGCCUUCCAUAGAGCUAGUGAUGCCCUGGAUAUCACCUGGAGAUCUGGAGAUCUGGUCAGCGCUGAACUCUGGAUUU